UGGGGAAUUUUGGACAAUGGGCGCAAGCCUGAUCCAGCAAUGCCGCGUGCAGGAUGAAGGCCUUCGGGUUGUAAACUGCUUUUGUACGGAACGAAAAAGCUCUCUCUAAUACAGGGGGUGAAUGACGGUACCGUAAGAAUAAGCACCGGCUAACUACGUGCCAGCAGCCGCGGUAAUACGUAGGGUGCAAGCGUUAAUCGGAAUUACUGGGAGUAAAGCGUGCGCAGGCGGUUUUGUAAGACAGAGGUGAAAUCCCCGGGCUCAACCUGGGAACUGCCGUUGUGACGGCAAAGCUGGAGUGCGGCAGAGGGGGAUGGAAUUCCGCGUGUAGCAGUGAAAUGCGUAGAUAGGCGGAGGAACACCAGAGGCGAAGGCGGCACUCUAAGCCGUACCUGACACUGAGACGCGACAGCACGGGGAGCAA
rnacentral:rRNA from 1 species